GAUGAAGAACGUAGCGAAAUGCGAUAAGUAAUGCGAAUUGCAGAAUUCAGUGAGUCAUCGAAUCUUUGAACACACAUUGCGCCCAUUAGUAUUCUAGUGGGCAUGCCUGUUCGAGCGUCAUUAAGUCCACUUAAGCCCUGCUUAGUGUUGGGAGACUGCUCCAGCGGUGCUACCCUGUAGCUACCCUGCAGCUCCUCAAAGACAGCGGCGGAGUUGUGGUAUCCUCUGAGCUUAGUAACUUGUUCUAGCUUUCGAGUACACCACUUCCCCUGCCGUAAAACCCUUAAUUUUUAAUGGUUGACCUCGGAUCAGGUAGGAAUACCCGCUGAACUUAAGCAUAUCAAUAAGCGGAGGA
rnacentral:misc_RNA from 1 species